AUUCUGUAGGAAACUGAGCUCUAUUUUAUAAAGAACAGAGAGAGAGAGAGAGAGAUUGUUACCCCUGGUGUUCCAUGAGUUGUCACACGAGACCCACGGUAGGUCGCUGGUGAAGGAAGCGAAGAAGUAAUAGUAGGACCAGGCCAGGAUCAUGUUGUAAUACAGUGACGUCAGGGCAGACACGGCCACCAUAGCUAUCCCCACACCUACAAUCAGAAUCAAGUAAGUUCCAAAAUCUGUUCCACUCUUUUCUAUCUAAUUUAGCUUAAAUGGCUAUUUACUAGUACAUAUACAUUGUACCUAAUCAUGAUCAUGUAUACACAUUUACUUUUUUUUGUCUAGCGAAAAUCCGAAUCGAGCUAUAGGUAUUAAAAUGACCGUUGGAUCUACAUAUCCUUCUUUAUUUACAAAUGAAGACGUAAUUAAACAACCAAAACUGGCGAGAAUCCAACAAUCAAUCCAUCAAUCCAAAGUAUAGAAAUAUUACUUAGUAUGAUUGUUGUUGAUAUCCAAUUAAAGUGUGUGUUUUCUUAAAGUUUGGGUAUUUUGUGAACAAAACAUUUUUAUUAAUUUUGGACAAUGAUUGAGAUUUUGUGGUAAACUUCGCAUUUUGAUUGUAAAAAAUGUUUUUCUUUGUACACAAUUAUUUGAUGUCAUUUAUAAUUUUUAGUAUUUUGUGCUAUAUUUGACCUUUAUUACCUUUGAAUAAAGGCGCGAAUCUCCAACACGUCAUGGGACCACUGCUACAGAACUGUCCUAAAGCAGCCUCCAUAAAGAACAGAGGCACACCAACUAAUAUCAUCAUCAGAACAAAGGGGAUCAGGAAAGCCCCUCCCCCAUUACGGUAACACAAAUAUGGAAACCUCCAGACGUUGCCAAGGCCGACAGCGUAUCCUAGCAACGAAAGCAAGAAGUCAAACCUUCCAGUCCAGUUCCCGCGCUCCUCGUUUUCAUCUUUCCCAAAAAAUUGUUUCCGACUGUCUUCAGUUUCCUCCGUUGCUAUUGUGACCUAUAAACAAAUAUAUCAUAUAUAUCGAUAGUAUGCAUGGACACACGUUAUUAAAAUUUUGAUAAAAAAGUAUUAAUUUUUCGGACUUCUGAUAUUAUUGGAAGAGUUUUUUUUUUAUUAUCUUUCGUAAUAAAUGUGUAAAUGUACAUG
rnacentral:sRNA from 1 species